CCCUACCGGAGGCGGCGGUGGGGAAUCUUACGGAAGGCAGCAGUGGGGAAUCCUGCCCAAUGGGCGCAACCCUGAAGCAGCAACGCUGCGUGAGCGAUGAAUCCUUAGAAAGUAAACCCCUUUUACUCCCGACGGACUGACGGUACCAGCAGAAUAGCACGCUAUUACUG
rnacentral:rRNA from 1 species